rnacentral:rRNA from 1 species
CAACUCGGGGAAACUCGAGCUAAUACCGCAUACCUUCGAGAGAAGAAAGCGUGGGACCUUCGGGCCACGUGCUGUAGGAUGAGCCUGCGUCGGAUUAGCUAGUUGGUGGGGUAAAGGCCUACCAAGGCGACGAUCCGUAGCUGGUCUGAGAGGACGAUCAGCCACACUGGGACUGAGACACGGCCCAGACUCCUACGGGAGGCAGCAGUGGGGAAUAUUGGACAAUGGGGGCAACCCUGAUCCAGCAAUGCCGCGUGUGUGAAGAAGGCCUGCGGGUUGUAAAGCACUUUCGUUGGGGAGGAAGGGCUUGAUGUUAAUAGCAUUGAGCAUUGACGUUACCCAAAGAAGAAGCACCGGCUAACUCUGUGCCAGCAGCCGCGGUAAUACAGAGGGUGCGAGCGUUAAUCGGAAUUACUGGGCGUAAAGCGCACGUAGGUGGUUAUUUAAGUCAGAUGUGAAAGCCCUGGCUCAACCUGGGAACUGCAUUUGAUACUGGGUGACUAGAGUAUGGUAGAGGGAAGUGGAAUUUCCGGUGUAGCGGUGAAAUGCGUAGAUAUCGGAAGGAACACCAGUGGCGAAGGGACUUCCUGGACUAAUACUGACACUGAGGUGCGAAAGGUGGGGAGCGAACAGGAUUAGAUACCCUGGUAGUCCACGCCGUAAACGAUGAGAACUAGCUGUUGGAGAGAUCUUACUCUUUAGUAGCGAAUAACGCGAUAAGUUCUCCGCCUGGGGAGUACGGCCGCAAGUUAAAACUCAAAGGAAUUGACGGGG